rnacentral:rRNA from 1 species
CCUACGGGAGGCAGCAGUGAGGAAUAUUGGUCAAUGGGCGGAAGUCUGAACCAGCCAUGCCGCGUGCAGGAUGACGGCUCUAUGGAUUGUAAACUUCUUUUGUACGGGAGUAAUAGUUCUUACGUGUAGGGUUUUGAGUGUAUCGUACGAAUAAGGAUCGGCUAACUCCGUGCCAGCAGCCGCGGUAAUACGGAGGAUUCGAGCGUUAUCCGGAUUUAUUGGGGUUAAAGGGUGGGUAGGCUGUCGGAUAAGUUAGAGGGUAAAUGGAGGGGCUUAACCCCGUUCCGGCCGUUGAUACUGUUAGACUAGAGAGCGGAUGCAGCAGGCGGAAUGAGUAGUGUAGCGGUGAAAUGCAUAGAUAUCACGCAGAACUCCGAUUGCGAAGGCAGCAUACCGGCGCCCAACUGACGCUGAAGCACGAAAGCGUGGGUAUCGAACAGGAUUAGAUACCCGUGUAGUC